rnacentral:rRNA from 1 species
AUUGAACGCUGGCGGCAUGCCUUACACAUGCAAGUCGAACGGUAACAGGUCUUCGGAUGCUGACGAGUGGCGAACGGGUGAGUAAUACAUCGGAACGUGCCUAGUAGUGGGGGAUAACUACUCGAAAGAGUGGCUAAUACCGCAUGAGAUCUACGGAUGAAAGCAGGGGAUCGCAAGACCUUGUGCUACUAGAGCGGCCGAUGGCAGAUUAGGUAGUUGGUGGGAUAAAAGCUUACCAAGCCGACGAUCUGUAGCUGGUCUGAGAGGACGAUCAGCCACACUGGGACUGAGACACGGCCCAGACUCCUACGGGAGUCAGCAGUGGGGAAUUUUUGACAAUGGGCGAAAGCCUGAUCCAGCAAUGCCGCGUGCAGGAUGAAGGCCUUCGGGUUGUAAACUGCUUUUGUACGGAACGAAAAGCCCUGGGUUAAUACCCUGGGGUCAUGACGGUACCGUAAGAAUAAGCACCGGCUAACUACGUGCCAGCCGCCGCAGUAACAC